UGAGGAAUAUUGCGCAAUGGGGGAAACCCUGACGCAGCGACGCCGCGUGAGUGAUGAAGGCCUUCGGGUUGUAAAGCUCUGUCAGAGGGAAAGAAAGGGGAUGCGGAAUAAUACCCGCAGCCAUUGACGGUACCCUCGGAGGAAGCACCGGCUAACUCCGUGCCAGCAGCCGCGGUAAUACGGAGGGUGCAAGUGUUAUUCGGAAUCACUGGGCGUAAAGAGCACGUAGGCGGAUGGGUAAGUCAGAUGUGAAAUCCCGGGGCUCAACUUCAGAACUGCAUUUGAUACUGCCCGUCUUGAGUGUGGUAGAGGGGGAUGGAAUUCCCGGUGUAGAGGUGAAAUUCGUAGAUAUCGGGAGGAACACCAGAGGCGGAGGCGAUCCCCUGGGCCAUUACCGACGCUGAGGUGCGAAAGCGUGGGGAGCAAACAG
rnacentral:rRNA from 1 species